GGGUGUGAUGAAUGCAUGCAAAAAUGC
rnacentral:piRNA from 1 species